rnacentral:rRNA from 1 species
AAUGAACGCUGGCGGUAUGCCUAAUACAUGCAAGUCGAACGGCCACACAAGGAGCGUUCUCUCCUACGGUUGGCGACUGACGGACGGGUAAGACAUAGAUCAGCAUCCUCUUAGUCGUGGGUGACAUCGGAAGGACGCUGACGCUAAUACCGCAUACAUCCUACGGCAUGAAUCAGUAGUUCUUCGCACCUUUCCUGACUCAUUUAGCCGAUGUCGCAUUAGCUAGUUGACGUGGUAAGGGCCCACCAAGGCAACGAUACGUAGCUGACCUGAGAGGAUGAUCAGCCACACUGGAACUGAGACACGGUCCAGACUCCUACGGGAGGCAGCAGUGGGGAAUAUUGCACAAUGGGCGAAAGCCUGAUGCAGCCACACCGCGUGGGUGAAGAAGGUCUUCGGGUCGUAAAGCCCUUUUGUUGGGGAAGAAAAGAAGCAGAUGAAUACCCGGCUGUUCUGACGGUACCCAAAGAAUAAGCACCGGCUAACUUCGUG